rnacentral:SRP_RNA from 2 species
CACUGGUUCCCUCGCAACGAUAAGUCGCAAACCCCGCCAGGCCCGGAAGGGAGCAACGGUAGUGACCGACUCGUGUGCCGAGGUGUGGCUGGUGGGU